AUGACAUUUGGCAAGUCUUACAAGCGAUGCCAAGAAUUCUGUGGAUUCACACUGGAGGAAGAAGUGUGUUUCAUUUCGCUGGGACACUAUACUCUAAAGGAAAAGGACGGCCUCGGCAAGCGCCCCCGCCCCGAGUCACCUCAGACCCGCUCGGGCACGAGCGGGAGCGGGAAGCAAACUCACCUGGCCGGAGCCGGGCGCGGGGGCGCGGGGGCGCCGCUGCCCUUCAGCGGAAGCCGACAAACUUUCGCAGGCGCCCAGCGGGCAUCGCUUGGUGGCCCGGCUAAGGACGCGCGGGCGCGGCGCGGCGAGCCCGGGGCGGCAGGCGGCGGGGGGCGGCCGCGGGCGCGGGCGGCAGGGGCGCGGGGGUCGCGGCGCGGCAUGGGACCUGCGGCGUCCGCCGGGCGCGCCGCGCGUCCUCCCGCCGGCCCCGCCGCUCUCCCCGCCCCGUCCCGCCUCCCGCUCGCCUCCGCCGCGGCGCGUCGGGCCGGGGCGCGCCGAGCGGCGAGAAAUUGUUUCCACUGCAAACAAAAAAAGGCGACACAUGACCAGGCAGGAGGAGGGGAAGCGCGGGGAGGGAGGGGAGCCGUGGGGAGGGGAGGGGAGGGACGGGGCGGAGGGAGCCGGAGAGAGGGAAAACGUGGGCCGGGCCGCCGGCGGCCUGGGGCGCGGACCCGCCGGGGCAGCCCCUGCCCGCGCCCCCUGCACCACAAUCGGCCCCGCGCCUCGCAUCCGGGCGCUUCCGAGGCGCAGCCGGAGCCCAGGCCGGGCUGGGCCGCGCGCACUCGCACCCCGUGGCCCCGCGGGGCGGGGGUGGCCGGCUGGGGCUCCGCGACCCGGGGCAGCCGCGACUGUGGGUGGCGGGUCUGGUGGGGCGGGCGGUGCGCGGCCUGUCCCUUCCCCGGGCCCUGGCCACGCGGGCCGGCGGGCGCUGCGCCGCUGGCAACGUGUCGCCCAAACGCUCCUACCCCAUCCGCACGCCUUACAUGGCUCGAAAGUAAAAAUAAAAAGAAUUACGAUGCCGGCGAGGCUUGCGAGGGGGAGAAGAGAUUCCACUUCUCCCCAACUACGGCGUCCUGGCGGGACUCCCGGGGCCGUCCCCAGCCCUCCUCCAGCUGCCACCUCGUGCCCGGGGAGGAAAGGCACAAAGGCACCGCUGCCUCCCGCCCAGGUGGAGUCAGUCUGCCGGCGCGUGUCUGCCCAGCGAGGGAGGGUGGCCAUUACAGAUUACAGAGCAAGAGGCCCGUCCUGGAGGCCAAACCCUGGAGCCUCCAGUGGGUUCUGCGAACGCCCUGGCCUACUUCUAAGCCUCCAGCGAAAACAAGCCUCAUGUCCUUCACAUUUAGAGCUCUCCAGAACCCCGCCGCCAACUCGCAGGGCCACCACUCCCAAGUCUUAGCGACACCUCCAAAGAUGGGCCACCCGCUGCUGCAGCCACACCAGGCAGCUGCUUUUGGAGAGGAUGAAAAGCGAGCUCAACAGGACACCCUGGUGGUGACACAAAUAAAAAUAUGAUUGCACACCAGCCCCAGCAAUGCAGCAAGAGAUGUAAGGAGCUAUCAUCAACCCGAAGAGGAAGUGGUGGACCAGCCCUGCCUGAUGUGGAGAACGGGGUACACGUGUCUGCCAGUCUGUCUGAAACGGGGGAUUCCAGACCUCAGCUGAAAGUUUAGAGUGGCCUUUUCACCCACGAGGGAACUCGAGGCAGCCUGGCACGGGUUGGCUGCUUCUGCUCACAUGUGACCACCCGUGGCUGCCAGCACCAAGUGCAAAGGACCUUCUGAUGGCCAGCACCCACCACCUUCAGACUGCCUCGCCUUCCACCACAGACUUCCGAUUCUCGGGGAAAUCAUCUGAUUGGCUCGGCCUGAUUCAGGUAACUCUUCCUUCUCCCCAUCCCCUCCUCACAGCGGAGGCAGGGGGCAUGGUGGAACCAUCUGGUAUAACUGGACUGGGGAAGGGAGGGGAGGUGAUUUUGGAAGAAUAUCUAAUAAACACAAGUCCAUGUUUGGCCUGUAGAAAUGGGGAAGGGGCAUUUUAGACCUGAACUUCUCAACUGGGGAUAUACCCAGGAAGCCACACCUAAUAGAUCCGAAUCUCCUGGGGGGGUCCUGGGCAUGUGCAUUUUGAGAAAGCACCACAGCACAAGUGUUCCCAGAUGGGAGACAUGAAUGGCACAUAUACAGUUUUCAAAUAAGACUUGACCAUAUUAGAAGAUGCAUUCUGAACAAAUAUACUGAAUGCCCGCCAAGUACCUGGCAUUGUUAGGUGCCAGAGAGACAAAGUUUUUGUUCCUUAUGGAGCAUGUAUAUCAGUGCAUCAGAGAGGAUUCCCAUAUCACAAAACUCCCUCUGUGCUAAGGUGAGCAGUUUACGUGCAGUAAUCAGAGGACAAGAGGACCUCAUUGAAUAUUUCUGAAUCCACAGGUUGCUCUAUCACAUUUCUAUAGGCUGAAAAAAGAAUGGCUCGCAUCUAGUAGAUAAAUCAGUCCUAGAGCCCUAAUACACAGUAAGUGAUUAUAGACAACGAAACUGUAUGAUAGGAGUUCCUGCUGUGGUGCAGUGGGUUGAGGAUCUGGCAUUACCACAACCGUAGCAUAGGUCACCACUGCAGCUAGGAUUCAAUCACUGGCCUAGGAAAUUCUAUAUGCCACGGGUGCAGCCAAAAAAAAAAAAGGAAAUUAUUAAAAAAACUAUUAUAACCAUGCAACUUGCUAAGUGACUAGAUCUUAGUUAUUCUCAACACUAGAAGAAAUGGUAAUUAUGUGGCACAAUAGAAUUAUCAGCUAAUGCUAGAGUAGCCAUCAUAUUUCAGUAUAAACAUAUCACAUUGAUAUGCUAUACACCUGAAACUUACACAGUGUUAUAUAUCAAAUAUAUCUCAAUUUUUAAAAAGAAGAAGAAUGGACUCAGGGAUCCAAGAUGAGUUUUGGGACUGAAGGAAAUGGAAAACCAUUUGCAGACCAAACCAUUCAGAAAGCAUUGCAGUCAUCCGUGUAAAAAGAAAUAAAGAUGAUUUUAAUGUGUUUUUUAGUAAGAAAAAAAAAAGAUCAAAAUAUUCAAAUAGUGUUUCCCCCUGAGUGGCAGAGUUAUGGGGUAAUGUUCUCCCUGCAUUUUUCAUACUUGUGUAUAUUUUCCAAAUUUUCUACCAUGAGCACCCAACACAUGUAUAAUGUUCUCAUGAUAAAGUGGGUUUCCACCAGCACAGUGAUUCUCAAACUCGAAGGUGCAUCAGAAUGACCUGUAGGGCUUAUGUGAACUCAGCUUGCUGGCCUCCACCCCCAGAGUUUCUGAUUGAGUAGGUUUGGGCCAGGGCCUGAGAAUUUGCAUCUCUAACAAGUCCCCACCCCAUGGAUGCAGCUGUUGUUGUUCCAGGGACCACACUUUGGGACCCACUGAAUUAGAGAAGUCAGUGAGACUGGGGAAAAAAAAAAA